rnacentral:rRNA from 1 species
ACGAACGCUGGCGGCGUGCCUAAUACAUGCAAGUCGAGCGGAGUGAUGAAGAAGCUUGCUUCUUCUGAUUUUAGCGGCGGACGGGUGAGUAACACGUGGGCAACCUACCUUGUAGAUUGGGAUAACUCCGGGAAACCGGGGCUAAUACCGAAUAAUCCAUUUUGCUUCAUGGCGAGAUGUUAAAAGGCGGCUUCGGCUGUCACUACGAGAUGGGCCCGCGGCGCAGUAGCUAGUUGGUAGGGUAAUGGCCUACCAAGGCGACGAUGCGUAGCCGACCUGAGAGGGUGAUCGGCCACACUGGGACUGAGACACGGCCCAGACUCCUACGGGAGGCAGCAGUAGGGAAUCUUCCACAAUGGACGAAAGUCUGAUGGAGCAACGCCGCGUGAGUGAAGAAGGUUUUCGGAUCGUAAAACUCUGUUGUAAGGGAAGAACACGUACGAGAGUAACUGCUCGUACCUUGACGGUACCUUAUUAGAAAGCCACGGCUAACUACGUG